AUGCACAUCUCCGGCCAUCCAGUAACUUCCGUUGAUUUUGAAACUGAAGAUUUUCUCAUCUAAUUGGGCAUCAUGGCCCACUUAAAAAUCAUGUCGAUCAAAUGCAUUGAAAUUGUGUUAAACUCUCGGUUAUGAAGGCUGAUGCUUGAGGUUGACUGUUGUUGGUAAUUUACAGGUUGUAGUAUUGACUUACGAUUGAAACUUAGUAGAGCUGUUUUUAUUCUAGUUUGGUGAUUGACUUGAUUGUUUAGAUUUAUUUAUUUAUUUAUUUUUUACUGCAUCUCAAUUAUAUUUUAAUGUCUCUACCUCAAUUUGAAGUUGAAUCCUAUUGGUUUAAACUUGAAAUUUGUGAUAUAUUCGUAACAAUGGAAGUUCCUUGUAUGGGAGGAUUUUGAAUUCAGCAAUUCUUGUAGUGGGCUAAAAAAGAAUGUGCUUGAUGCAGGGAUCAAUUCUUGACUGGAGGACAACUAGAAGCAAAGAUCAAAUGGAAAUUUAAGGUUUCCUAGUUUGAAUUCUGGAGAGGUACUUCAAAACCAAAAUUCAGUUGGCUUCCUGGUGGCCUUGAUUAAAAUUUGCAUUGAUAUAUUUGAAGGAUGAAAAGGGUGAGGAAGGCUGAAAUAGUCCUAAACUCGCUGACCCACUCAUUCAAGAAGCCAUUUUCUUGCAUGGGAUUCGCCACCAAAUUGAUUGGCUCGAGGAAGAAUUUAAGCAGAUGCAAUGCUUCCUGAAAGAUGCAGAUGCCAAACAAGAAGCAAAUUGGACAUCAUUAACUUUUUAUAAUUCUUCGUUUGGGUAGCUGCGACCAAAUUUCUCUUUUCCUAAUUGUCUAUUGUUGGCAAGGAAACAGAGAUAAACUUGCCUAUAAACUGCACCAAAUCUGGAACUCUCUCUUUUUUGAUUGGGUAGUACUCUAUCAAUGUGGAACAUCAAGAUUGCUCUUAUUAAUGUUACCAGUUUGAAAGGACUUUCAGGGUUUGUUGGGACAGUAGCAAAAUUGCAGUUUAAUUGUGGUUCUGUAGUUUUA